UAUGGUCACAUCACGGUGGAAACAUUCGUUCUCAUUUGAUCGCCGAAGUUAAGCAGUAUCGAGCCCAGUCAGUACUUAGAGGGGGACUGUAUGCGAACACUGGGUAUUGUAAG